rnacentral:lncRNA from 1 species
CACACGCUCCCGGCGAUGGGUCUGGUGGACAUGCAGCGACCUUCGGCACCGAACUGCUCUCCCGCCGCCUCCGGAGCGACAAAAAAACCCAUCAAAUAUGGCUGUGCUGGCGGCUUCCCCCGGCUGGCGCGGCGGCGGCGGGCACGGUUACCUGCUGGCGGCGGCGGGGCGGCGGCGGCGGCGGCGAGGGCGGGUAGCGCGGCCGGGCUCCCCCUGCGCGGAGGGCUCGGGGCCGCCUCAUGAGUUCGGCGCGGCGCCGGGGAGCGGGCGCGGAGAGCGGCUCCCUGCGCCACACACACUACAGACACACAGAGACUCCCUCUGACUGACGUUUGUACUUGUUAUGGAGGAAGGACUCCGUGAAUCAAACUCGUUUCUGGGUCACUGCUGCCACAGGGGGGAGCUACUUUAAUCCCCUGCCAAAACUGGAAGGCGAGGAAAAGGGAGGGUGGGGGGGGAAUAAUAACCGCGUACCGCCAGGGAGGGGGCGGCCCCGCGGGAGCCGCCGUUAACUCUUGGCGGACCAGGACGGUCUCGCCGCCGGCACCACCCCCCCGGAAGGCUCCCGGCGACCUGCUCGGCCCCGGUUAUGCCCAUUUGGCCGGAGCGCGGGGGUGCGCGGCCGCCCGGCGCUGAACGCGUCCGAGCUGGUAUCGGAGCGGGCUCGCAGAGGAGGAGAGGAGCCGACGCCGCAGGGCUGGCAGCUGGGAAAUGAAUGGUGUCUGCGCCCAGGUCCCGCCCGUGGCACUGCUGGCGUUACCCUGCGACCAUUGCCUCUUCUCUCCCCAAAAUUCCAGCCGAUUUCACAACCAGGAAUUACAGUGCUGCACAGGCUCUCUGUGUGUAACGCACAAUGUGCUGAGUUUGAGGCAAAGAAACUGAGGCACCCAAGAGUUAAAUGGUGCGGCCGCAUACACGGUGAGUAAUUGCUAGGGCAAGAAUAAAACUGCGGGGUCCCCAUUCCAACCCCAGCGCUACCCCUCCAGCUCCCAACUUCGACGCUUCGCAAGGACAAGAAAGAGCUAACGCAUGCUGCGGUUCAGUUCACAUCUUUCUGGCAGGAAAGCAAAUUAUCUUAAAUUGGCACCAAAUUACAUACUAAAGUUCCCAUUAUUUAAAAAAAAAAA